rnacentral:rRNA from 1 species
AACGAACGCUGGCGGCAUGCCUAACACAUGCAAGUCGAACGAGACCUUCGGGUCUAGUGGCGCACGGGUGUGUAACGCGUGGGAACCUGCCCUUAGGUUCGGAAUAACUCCCCGAAGGGGGUGCUAAUACCGGAUAAUGUCCUCGGACCAAAGAUUUAUCGUCUUUGGAUGGGCCCGCGUUGGAUUAGCUAGUUGGUAGGGUAAAAGCCUACCAAGGCGACGAUCCAUAGCUGGUCUGAGAGGAUGAUCAGCCACACUGGGACUGAGACACGGCCCAGACUCCUGCGGGAGGCAGCAGUGGGGAAUAUUGGACAAUGGGCGAAAGCCUGAUCCAGCAAUGCCGCAUGAGUGAUGAAGGCCUUAGGGUUGUAAAGCUCUUUUACCCGGGAUGAUAAUGACAGUACCGGGAGAAUAAGCUCCGGCUAACUCCGUG